CAGGGGGAAGGGAGGAAGGCAAAUGCAACGCAGGCUCGGAGCUUACUGCCGGAAUAAAUACUUACAUAGGGAUUUGAGGUCCACAUUCCAAGAAGUCCUCCACCAUGAUGAGAUGUGAAUUUCCAUGUGAUGUUUCACAGAAAAUAUCAAUGCUUUUAUUCCUGUUAAAAUGACGAAAGAAGAAAAAGCAUGCUGUAGGUCAAUCCUACAAAAUGCUGCUGAAAGCUGUUAGUUACUCUUUGCUUGUUAUGUCUACAGUUCAAAUAUGCAAUCCAGCCAGGCAAAAGCACGCAAAGAUGACAUGGAUCAGGUCCAAUGAGGAGUGAUUCCUGGAAAGGGGGCCAGUAUCCAAUAAUGGAACACAACACAUGCAUACGGGAGAAGAGUUGUGGGGAGAGGAGGAAGGCCCCCAGAACACUGAAACCUGUAUCACAGUCGCAUCUGAUCAGUAAGUAAGUGAUGGUGAAGCCGCUGUGGUCAGCUGAAGCAUGAUGAAGCUUCGGUUAUUUGUGUUCCAUUCACCACAGAGUUAUGCUUUCCCAAGACUUCCUCAACAGUAGACUAACAAGGCAAUUCUUGUUUGUACCUUAUGGGAGGUUAAGCCCUCUGAGUUCAAGGGACCUUACUCCUAUCUGAUUAGUGAUAACAAAAUUGUAGCCUAAGACUGUCCUUCUGUGCCUUUUUAUCUGGGAGGAGGUCUCAUUGAACACAAUAAGGCUUACUCCUUAGUAAACAUGCACAGGAUCGGUCUACAUGUUUAUCCCUAUCAUAGGAUCAAUUUAGAGCAAGCUUCCUCAACCUGGUGCCCUCCAGAUAUUUUGGUCUGUAACUCCCAUCACCCCUAACCACUGACUCUGCUUGCUGGACCUGAUGGGAGGACGAAGUUUCCUCAUCCCUGAGCUAAGAGUACAACCACAGGGCAAUUUUGAGGGUUAGGGUGG